CGGGGAAUAUUGGACAAUGCGGGAAACCGUGAUCCAGCAAUGCCGCGUGAGUGAUGAAGGCCUUAGGGUUGUAAAGCUCUUUUACCAGGGAUGAUAAUGACAGUACCUGGAGAAUAAGCUCCGGCUAACUCCGUGCCAGCAGCCGCGGUAAUACGGAGGGAGCUAGCGUUGUUCGGAAUUACUGGGCGUAAAGCGCGCGUAGGCGGAUUGGAAAGUUGGGGGUGAAAUCCCGGGGCUCAACCCCGGAACUGCCUCCAAAACUAUCAAUCUAGAGUUCGAGAGAGGUGAGUGGAAUUCCGAGUGUAGAGGUGAAAUUCGUAGAUAUUCGGAGGAACACCAGUGGCGAAGGCGGCUCACUGGCUCGAUACUGACGCUGAGGUGCGAAAGUGUGGGGAGCAAACAGGAUUAGAUACCCGUGUAGUCC
rnacentral:rRNA from 1 species